rnacentral:rRNA from 1 species
UACGGGGGGAGCAAGCGUUGUUCGGAUUUACUGGGCGUAAAGGGCGCGUAGGCGGCCACCGCAGGUCACUUGUGAAAUCUCCGGGCUUAACUCGGAAAGGUCAACUGAUACUGCGGGGCUAGAGUGCGGAAGGGGCAACUGGAAUUCUCGGUGUAGCGGUGAAAUGCGUAGAUAUCGAGAGGAACACCUGCGGCGAAGGCGGGUUGCUGGGCCGACACUGACGCUGAUGCGCGAAAGCCAGGGGAGCGAACGGG